ACACAUAUGCUAAGGGUGACAAUGCCAACAUUGUGAUGUUUAGUGGCUCUAACAUUAACCGUAUUGAGCAAAUAAUGAGUUUGAUUGAGGCUAAAUAUCAUUUAGUUAUCAGAAAUUUCACGGUAAUCCUAAAAAUCAGCAAUUUUUUCACUAAUUUCAUCUUAAUGGCAUGUUUGUUCAAACUGUACCAAGCUAACUGUAAUACUGAAAACUCACGUAGCAAGUGAGAGCUGUUGGGCUUACUGAAUACAGAAAGCUGCACUAACCACAAAGAAUGAAAAAAAAAAAAAGGACACAACUAUCAUAAGUAGAAAGUGUGCACGUGUUUUACAAUUGUACGGCCAUUGAAUGGCAAUGGGGAGCAGUUAACCUGAAAGUCAACUGGGGUCAAACAUCUGGGUUACCUUGUCAGUAAGAGGAAGCAAAACUGAUGAAAACUAAAUUAAACGUGGUGUUAAAUAUUGAGUGAAGACACAGUGAUGCAAGCAGUCUGUCACUAAUUUUGCUAGGUUCAUCAAGCUUCCUUAGCAAAAUCUUUUUUUAAAUCACUUCUGUAUAUUCAAUUUCUAUUUAACAAACGUUACUAAAGCCAGCAGACACAGAGGUCACCGGAGAGCACUUGCUGCAAUGACUGCAAUUAUUUAUUUUAAAGAAAAAAAACACUAAGUGCCAGCUAGUUUAACCCUGUGAGUUCCAAGUCACAAGAGAGCUUCAGUAAAUCUAAUCUUUAGAUACAGCCCCACUGACGUGCCAGAAUUCAACUUCUGCCUUAAAUUCCCACACAAGAGUUAUCUCCAUGUGCCGCUCACAACUACAAUCUGUCUAAUCCAAGUUGAGACAAUAAAGAAGAUAAUGCUAAGUGGUUCCUGGAACAAGUAGGAAUGAGUUAGGCUCUGGACUAACAGUUCUUUGACGUGGAAGAACACGGGAGUUUUUAAAGAAGGUCACUAUCAGAGUGUACGAUAAGCCUGGCUUAUUUUACAACUCUUUUAUAACAGAACAAGAAGCAUGCAUCAGAACAUGCCAUUCUUUAGCGUUUACCCCAAUAACCAUAGCAACUGCACAUUGAUAAUUCUGAGUCAUACAUCUGAGUUAUGCCAUGCAUGAGAGUCACACAAUGUCAGCAUCUAAAGUCAACAACUGCUUAACAAAGCAUCCUCUUGGUUGCCAGAGAAACGCUACUGCUGAACUCCACCGCAACCCGAUUUACAGUUUGGUGUAUCUGAAAGACAAACUGAGGAUGUCAGGGGCAACCAGGGUGCAAUUCAGAUUCCAAUCCAUUCAGGUGAAAUGCAUUUUUUCCUCCUUUACUCAAGCAUGAGAGACAUUUUAGUUUUACCAAAUGGCUAUAAAUGCUCUCACUUUCAUCAGAUAUGCUAACAUGAAUUGAUCAAUCGCUCAUUAUGAACCAACAAAACAUCUGAAUCUGGUUAUAUUAAAAUGAACACGGAACAUUAACAGUUCAGGUUGUUUAAGGCGGAAUUUGAAAUGGUAAAAUGUGUGAAAAUGUCAUGACUUCCACUUAUCCUGUGCGAUUCACAGUGUAACACCUCGUUAUGUUAUCGCUCAAAGCGAGGAAAUCAUGUGAAAAAAAACAAAAAAAAACAACUUGUGAGCAAGAUGAUAAGCAUAUGACUCUCUGACUAGAGUUUGCAGUUAGUCAACAGGAAAAUGGAAAUAAUAUAGCUCCGUUUUAAGUUUAAAAUUGAAACUUAUUAAAAUCUUAAGGGUCUCUUCAUUGGUAAUGUGACCUAGUCUUCCUUUCUGGUUAUUUUGGGUUUACUGUGUGCUUACGGGUAUUAGCAUUAACUAAAGAAAUUCAAACUCUGUCACAGGAAGAGGAGGGUCGAAAAAAAAGGAUCGGGUUUCUUCUUUCUAACCAGGGGAGAGUGCAAACACGCACACACACACACACACAAGUUUGUAUCUUUUAGAGCCGUUUCCCACGACCACUGUUUGUUUGAUUCUUAAAAUGUCGGCACAAGCAAACUGGAACAGAGUUUUGUUAGUUUUGCUGCUUCGUCAUCUGGUGAAACUGCUGACUGACACCUGUUUGAGCCAAUCAUGGAAUUUACCGUCUGCUCUAAAAAAUAUCGAAUAAUAAGAAUUUCCAAGCACCAACUGAUUAAAGUAUGUUUUAUACAUACUUGCCUUCUUUGUCAGGUAUUCUUUGGCACACCGUUAGAGCCACGUGGGCAUGCAGAGAUUAGGCAAUAGCAUGGAUAUGUUAGUAUGUGUCAAAGUUCAGUAUAAAUUUUCCAUUCCUGAUACAUCUUUUCAGAUGACUAAUGUGAGGUCCUCAAAGUUGCCACAGUACAGUGGAACUGCUAUGCUACCUGUUCACCUUGUGUGGAAUUAUGAUUUGUCCGUCUUUGUGUAGAUCCAAAUGAGCUACUACAUUAGCAGGUCAGCAGGGUGGUUCUAAAAUAAACUAACUUGUCAGUUGUCAGCUGAGGCAAGGUUAACCAAAUAAUCACCAUAAGAUCAAACUGGUCUAUUGAGAACCAAUGCUAGCUCAUAAACAACAGCAGAUACAGUACUAAGGAUGUCAAAUCAGAACGCUACAUGACCAGCAACAAAGUACUUACGUUCAGAUCUUUGAUAUUUACCAGUUUUCAAACUGAAACCUUUAAAAAGUGAACGUUUGAUUGCAGUUUGUCCACCAGCCCUACCUUUGCACUGUUAAUCUGCUCUGCUAUGUGCACCACAGACCCACAUUUAAUCUCCUGCUACUUGCAUACUUCCAGGUCUUUCCAUUUGCCACGUCUCCAUAGACACGCUUGUUAAAAAUGUGAUCAUACCAAGGAGAAAGCUAGAUUGUCAUCGUUCCUACAAUUCGAGCUAAAAUGAUGCCAGUCACACACAGCCCUGACAGCGUUUGAACUCCCCAAAAUCUAAUCGUACCAUAUGACAGCUUUUGAACAGACGCACGCUGAAGUCUCCUCCUCAAAAAUGACACUUGAAGCAAAGGCCGAAUCAGCAGCGCGAUGAUGAUCCAGAAGCGGCGUUAGGCUGCGUGACAGGGAGUAUGCAGAACUGCAACACUAAUGACUGCUGGAAACACACAUGCGGACAACAGCCAGGCUCCUGAUAAAGCGUGGGGUCAGGCUUUAUCUAAACCGUGUACACAGCUUCACCAGAACUUUUAUUUGAAUUCAUUUCCAUUGCGCGGGUGUGUGUGUGUGUGUGUGUGUGUGUAGACAAACUGUAGUCAAAAUAUUUACAUAUUUCAAAUGAUAAAAGGGGAAAAAUACAGCAAUGUUUCCUUGUUGUUGUUGUUGUUGCUGCUGCUGCUGAAGUGGAAACAAGUCCAGGUAUGAAAUGGUGCUAACCACAUGCAGUGAGAAGAUUGUGAAAAUGUUUCUGAAGUUCAAAUUUAUAAGGUCAUACAACCAGCCUGUGAUAACCACAGUAUGGUGCUACCCUUGCUGUGUUCGUAAAGUUUCUCAUUUUGAAGACUUUCAAGCUUAUCCAAUGCUUUCAAAGCCACCAAUCCAACCUUAAUGGUACUUCAGAAGUACAAUUCACUAUAAAUUUAGAUCUAAAAUCUGCCUUUCUUGGGUAUGUUUAAAAUGUUUUUUUUAAAUGUUAAAGGGAACAGGGAAAUAAAUCUUGUACAAACAGCAUGGUUGAGAGUAACCUGAUUGUCAACCUGAAGAAUUUAUUGCAGAUUUGCAGUUUUGUUUUUUUACAGUUGUCAGUAAAGGGCAGCCUUACACUUGAUGCCUCAGUUAGCAUGGGAAACCCUUUAACGAAAAUCAUGAAGCUGCAAACAAACAGUUUGUUCUGACCUCAUAAAACUCCCCACUUCCUGAGUGGUGACACCAAUCUGUUUUGGACCAGCAGAGGGAGUCUACACAAUUACUUCAGUGCAGCAGUGUCUUUCGGCA